CGCCGCCCCGGCCCGCAGCCCACCUCUCCGGCAGGCUCCCCGCUGCCCCCCUCGCUCCGCUCCGCCGCGCACACGCACCGGCGCAGCCGCGCAGGGAGGGAUGCGCCGAGCCCCGCCGGGAGCCUGUCUCCCGUGGAGCCGCCGCCGCCGCCGGGCUGCGGAGGGAAGGGCGAAACCCGAGCCGCCGCGAUCGAUACGCGAGGGGAGUAAGUGGAGCUGAAAAUGCGAGAGAUGCGGCUGACUCGCCGCACGCCUCGCACCGGCGGCAGCCAGGGUGGAGGAACCGCGGGUGCGCAAGAAGGGUGCGGAGCGGGCCGCGCCCCGGAGGGGACCCACAGCCGCUCCGCAGCGCUCCGCACCCCUGCGCGGGGCAGCGGCGGGCGGGCAGAGGCGCGCCGCCGCGCUCGGAGGUACGGUGCGAUUUAAGGUGGUCGGGAGGAGAUGGUAGCGGCCGCCGGUCCCUCGCCACGGGAGACCCGGCAAACGUGCGGAAAAUCAGGCCGAGGAACCGGGAGAGUUUGGGAAAUUCCACCCCUCACCCCCUUACCCCGCGUCCACUCCCCGCCUAGUCCUUCCAGGCGAGUCCUGUUCUAGCACUGAAGGUGGGGCUUAAAUGUAUUAAUAUUAAAAAAGCGCUGUUGACCUAUAUUUGGAGGAAACCCAUUGCCAGUGUCUAGAUUGCAUGUAGUUUCAGAAACUCCGGGAUUGGCAGAGCAAUUGACUUCACCGAGCUCUCUGUUGAGCAUGAAUAAUAAUUAUGAGGUGACUCUCGGAGAGGUUCUGUCUCUCUCGCUCUUUCUUUCUUUCUUUUUUUUUUUUUUGCAUAAGAUGGUUCCGCAAUCUGAUUCCACCCGAGAUCCAAUAUUUACCCAGUUGUAAACCUUGUGCCAUCAGAUUUUUUAAAACAGAAGGUGAUGCAAUGCCGAUAAGUUGCAAGUCCCUCCCCUAUGGAAGUACCAGAGCAUUGGUGGCGAGCAUCCUUAAAGAAAUAUCAAUAUAUUUACGCUCUGAUGGGCACAAUUGCAAAUGAUGGUAUUGCAAUACGAGCUAUAUAAUACGGAAUCAGGAGAGGAAUGGUCGAUCCGGCUUCAGCUGCCUUUUGUGAGUGCACGACAGCAUGCUUACUAAAUUUAGAAUAUGCUCGCGAGGAAUAAUAAUAAUAAUAAUGAAUUCUAAAAUGAAAUUAAGAAAAAAGUAAAUAAAUCAUAGAAAAAAAAAAUCAAGUCAGCAGGCGUAGCAACCGAGGACUGCGUUUGUAAUAAUGAGUGAGUGGCCUGGCGGUCACUAUACACUUGGGGUCCUCUGAGCUGUAUGCAAUUCGUUUGAUCAAAGUGCAUCCUUGGGGACAAAUGCAAACAGCAAUCUCUAACCAAGUUACAGGGAACGCCAUGGCACGGUAAUGACUGGAAAGAUGAUCGAUAUCCCAGGCACUAGACGGGUGGACAUCGCAAUGAAGAAGUAUAGAGAAUAAGGAUAAACUCCCUCAUUAUCAGAUUGCCAUAUGUACAAAGCAGUCACCCAAAGAUUAACAGGAAAGGAAACGCAAAGGAGGAAUUAAUUAAAUGCAAGUAAUAAAUGCGCGGGGAAGGCGGGGGGGGGGGGCGGGGGGGCAAAGGGAGAAAUCAAGAAAAGUUGUAACUGUGGGAAGCUCGAAAUCACCCUCCUAUCAAAUUAGAUGUGAAAGAAAGCAGAGCUGGGGGGUGCGGGGAGGGUCUGCUCAGCCUCAGCGCAGGCUGGAGCUGCCGAGAGCCGAGGGGGGUCCGGGGGCAGCUGGGGGGACCGGCGGGAGCCCGCCCGCCCCGCCGCUCCUCGGGCCUCCGGGAUGCGCCUGCCUCUCUUACCCACGUUAAGCUUUUCUUUUUCUUGUUUUUUAUUUUUUCUUUUUUUUUUCUUUUUUCUUUUUUUUUUUUUUUUCCUUUAAAUGUCACAGCUUCUGGGGAAAAAAAUAACCCCCAAACCGCCCCCGCCCCCCUCUCCCCAUCCCCCCGAACUCAGACCUGCGGGAAAAGGCAUCGGAGCACGUUUCCCUCCCAGUUGCCUCCUGUUCCUGGCACUACCAGCCCAGCGCUGCCGGAGGAAGCAUCAGUGCCCGACCCACACCCGUCCCUGCCUGCACUCACAUUUUAAAACAAUAACAACAACAGCAAAAACCCCAAACCGAGCAAAACCAGCAGCCACCAGCUGGGCACUCAGGCCUUCUUUAGAGGGAUCAAUCCCUCAGUCAUGGGCUAUAAAAAUAAAUGCUGUGUCCUGGUGUCCUCCAAACCUGCAGGCCGCUCUUCUGCUCCCUGGACAGGGAGGCUGGAGCUGUCCCAGUCCUGGUGGGGGGUGGUGAGAUGCUCUGCACCCCUCUGCCCAUCCCGCUGCAAACCAAAGCUGCUGCUUCUCCCCAUGGAGAGCAGCUCCCAGGGAACCUUCAGGGCUGCCCAGGAUGAGGAUACCAGAGAGGACCAUUGGCUGCAAUCUCAGUUGGGCCACAAAGCCCUGGUGAGGUGGUGGGAAGCCCCUUUGGGUCAUCUGGACCUCCUGGGUGCAGCAAGCACCACAGUCCCAAGAACAUCUACCACCAAGCCCCAUGGCUCCCCCCACCUUGUGGGGUCAUGCAUGGGGCUGUGGGGUCACACUGGUCUGGGCCAUCCCCAAAGAUUGUUUGUUUGUUUGUUUUUUUGUUUAUUAAAUCUGGACUUGAUGCCAGCUGUUUGCUCUGCACGAAGGCAUGGAAGGGUUCAGAUGGCACAAGCAAGGUGUCUUGUUGGCCAUUUUAAGCUCCCUGAGUUUUCUUUAGCUGAUAUAUUUUGUCUGAUGAAUCCCAAAAUACAGUAAUCUGGAGAGUAGAUUGUGUAGAUUUUAGCUGAGUCUUAAUUACUUAUCACCCGUAAUAGCCACCACUUGUGCUCACCCUUAAUAUAAGAUUUUUUUUUUUUUAAUAAAUUAUCAAUUUUCAGGGUGUUAGGGCUUCAUUCUUCAAGAAAUUUGGGACCAAAAUUAUUGACAGAGAAAUAAAUCAUAAACAACUUCUGUGAAAAGAGAGGUUAUGCUAGAGUAAAACUGAUGUAAAUGAAAGGAGGCUCGGGCAGGCUUUUCAUCUGAAGCUUUGUUUAUUUCUUUUAUAUACUCCACCCUCCUUCAUUAUGAUGUUGAAGUAUUUUACUUAAAGAAAUGCUACACAUCCCUCUUUGCCGGUCCUCUUGGUGGUAUUGCAAUAUCUAUCUUGAAAAUCAACUUUGAAAUUUCAGUUCAGAACUACUGGCUAGCUAGCAACUGCACAGUGACAAGCAGAACAAGUCUUGUUCCUUGGAAUUUGCUUCCAAAAAUCCCAAAGUCCUGACAUCAACAAGAAAAAUUAAGCUCAUAGUUUUCCACUCAUUUUGGUUUGACAGCAAAAUUCAAGGAGCCACGCAGCUGAAGCCUGGUAUCUGCUGCACUAUGCCCUUAGUCUGGCAGCAGUCUAUAAGCAUUUCUGCUACAGGACAAAAAUAUUCUGUACAUAGAGAGGCAGAAAAUGGUUGCUUUCCAGAAUAACUGUGUCUAGGUGAAUUGAUUUUGCAGUUUUCAUAUCCAUCUGUUUGUGGAUUAAUGCUAAUCAUCUGCUUGAACAUGGUCAAUAAAGCCUUCCAUCAGACAUGCAAAAAAAAAGAUGUAGGCAGCAUGAUUCAUAAGCUACUGUUAUCUAUGUUUUGUGUGUGUAUUUGCUGUCAGCCCAAACUUGAAAGCAGAGUUUCCCACAGGAUUCCUUAUAUCCUCAGCAGGGCAAUACGUACUGUCUGAUUAUAGAUUUAUAGAGAAACUCUUGCCCUUCCAGCUCUUUCUGCUUCUCCUUAAAUAACCCAGCAUUUUCCCAUAACAAAAGCCACAGGUAGGAAUGAUUUUCAAUAUAUAUUUUUCCCCCUUCCUGGAUUGUGAUCCACAUCCCUUUUCAGCUACUUCCUUCUGGUCAUGAGUGGGGAAAAUCCCAGCAGAGGAGUUUGUACCCACGCAGGGAGGGAGCGGGGUGGGGGGGGGGGGGGGCAGCAGCCACUAGGGGAGCUCGACACUGGGAGUAACCUUGGAGCAUCUUCCUCACAGCUUGCAUAGCUCUCUGCAGUCUCCAGGAGUGGAAGUUUCAAAGUGGGUAUUAAAUUCAGAAAAAAAGCUUUAUUUUUUUUUGUUAUGGAAGGCAAUUUUAUAACCAAGUAUUUGAAAGUUAUUUUCUUGCCCCUCUGUACACUGAAUUGUGAUGUGUGUGUGUGAACUUAUCCACGAGGCGAGCAGUAACCACGGUGCAUAUCUCUUAAAUUUCUGAUGACCCAUAUAAUUAAGAUACUUUGAAAUGUAGCUGCUUAAGCACCAGCCAUGAGUAUGAGAAAAUCCAGUGUUUAGUCCUGGUUGUAAAGUUGACUUGCUUUCCUAGUCGUUGGCAGGUGACUUAGAUCCCAUGUUUGCAUCACAUAAACAUUGCUAAGAAUAAGCCUUCAAAGGAAAUCAGAUCUUUUUCUUGUUGUUGUUGUAAAAAUUGUUAAUUGGAUUAUUAAUGGUUAGUAUGUUAAUUAGGGUUUUUGUUGUUUGUCUAAGGAAUUUAUCUGAGCAACUGAGUCAAUGAUCAUCAGAGGCUGUGGGUGUAUGAAGAGCCAAAAUAGAUUACUUUUUUUUUCCCAUGCAGAUCAAUACUAGUGGAUUCUUACUUGGCUGUCUUGGGGUCCCACCUAUUCUCAAAUGUACCUUUGAGAAUGAAGAAGCUAUUUAUUUUAACACGCUUGCUCAUAUUUAUUUCAGUAUCAAUGAUUAUUUGAGCUAAUAAGAGUGUUUAACACAAAAAAAAGAGCCUAUAUUUGAUAUACAUUAAUACUCUCAACAAAUGGCUAAUGGAAGAAUUACCUUUCAGCAAGAUCUACAUUCCAAUAUACGUUUUUCUGUUUAGAGAAAAAAAAAAAAGUGGAUACAUAAAUAGCAUUGUGAAAUGCAAAUAAUGCUCACUGUCUGACUUGCACUGAUACUGCAUUUAAGGGGAAAAGUGCAGAGUCAUAUUUUGGAAUAUUGAGUACAUCUCCUGGUCUGUAUGAUAUGACAGCCAGACAGGGGAUGCUAAGAGAAACCUGAAGGCAUGAGAUAAAUUCAGACUUAACUUGCUGGCUCUUGCAGUGUGAGGUUGGCUUGCCCAAAGUACACAAACCAACAGACUGGAUCAAGGCGCUCUGUUUGGGCAGCGAUCAGAAACAAAGCUUGCCCUCUAAAGUCCACCUCAUAGCCAGAUCCAGCCAUGGUAACCACUGUAUUCACUGGACCAUGGUAGCAGGAGAGGUAUGUGCAUGAUUGUCUUAGUUUUUCUUGUUUCCUUACAUUUGCAGACUAUUUUUGAGCAUAGUUUACAUGUUUUCUUUCUUUUUUCCUGGCAUAUUUACAACCCAGCUUUUUAAAACGCUUUGUUCAUGCCAGUCAGUUUAGCAAUGUGCUUGUUAAAACAGUUCCUAAUAUAUUGUAUAUGACUGAAAAUGACUUAAUUGUUCUAUUUUGUUUCUGACCCCAAUAAAAAAUGUCCCUGA